AAAACGGCCCUUUUCAGGGCCCCCAUAACAAAAAAAAUUAAUAAUGU
rfam:Beta vulgaris subsp. vulgaris contig132058.1, whole genome shotgun sequence.